rnacentral:lncRNA from 1 species
UAGCUGAACAGGAACUGAAUAAGGCAAUAAUGGAGUGACACAAAGCACUGUAUCUUUUCCUUCUAAAAUGCUUGUGUAAUGUUGAAUGAAGAUCUGCAAACUAAAGCAUAUUAUUCUAUGUGCAUCAAUCUCUUCACUUGGACCUCUGCAGAUUAUCUCCUCCAAAUCCUUAGAAUUUUCAAUUGCGUCCACAAGGAAACUGCAAAAUAAGGACAGAGACGACCACAAUGAGU